rfam:Enterococcus sp. 2G9_DIV0600 scaffold00001, whole genome shotgun sequence.
AGUACAGUAAUGACAAGGUGCAGGAAGUGGUGCCGCACAACUUUGAGUCUACGAACAGAAACUCAAUUAAACGAAAUAGCGGAUAAGGUUGCUGAACCAACCAAAGUCCCAAAGUGAAACGUAAAACAAAAAUAGCAAAUCUUUUGAGAUCCGCUAUCGAUCGAAUGCAUUUUCU